rnacentral:lncRNA from 1 species
GCGCCUGAGCCGCUACCUCGUCGCCGCCUCGGAUCCGCCGCCUCCCGCCGGAGCCGCUCAGAGCAGGGUGCCGUCGUCGUCGCCGAGGGAGCGGGCCGCAUCGCCGCCGCCGCCUCCUACUCACCCGCCGCCUCCCGCCGCCGCCGCCUCCUACGCCACCGCCCCUCCUACGUCGUCGCAUCUGUCCUCGGCCAGAUCGGUGCCACCGCGGUCGCCGUCGCAUACAUUCCUCCCGGUCCACCGCCGACGCCCCACCCAGUGUCGUCUCACCGUCGGUCGCCCGAGAAGGGUGGAGUGGGUGAGGCGCCUCUCUUCGACAAAACCAUUGGACGCGCCUCCACAUCGUCACCGCCUGCACCUCCUCGCUGCCGGUGCUCAUGGUCCACCCCGCCCAUGCAUCCCAGCCGCCGGCCCCCGCGUCCACAUCGCUCGCGCUCGCGCUCCCACCCGCGCCUCACCGCCGACAGCGCUCGCCUUCCACCCCGCCCGCCGCCGCCGACUCCUCGUGCCCUCCUACCACCUGUCAGCGUGACCAGGCAGCCGCCAACGCCUGCGCACACCCUCCCGCCAGCCCUCAAUCCGCCCUUUUUGGUUUGGUCACAUGAUUCAGUUGCCAAAACACCCGUCACCGCAAGUCCACACGCCCUCCACCAAUCUUGACCAAUGACGCUGGCGCCAUCGAACGACACGGCAGGAUCUAUGUCUGUUACUCCCACUCAUGGAAGGGCUCCCGUAGGAGACAUCAUAAAAGUAGCGGUUGCCAAACAAAACAUAACCGAUCACAUUAAGAAUUUAGCUUCCUUUGGUGCUACCCAAACCUGUUCAGGAAUCAUGGAAAUCGGAGGCAGCUUCUUAAUACAAUGAACAACGUUGGCAACUCUACACCAGAUUCAUCAACAGAGUCAGUUAUAGGUGAUUAUAUUGUUGGCCAUUGUUUACCGGUGAGAAGACGUGUAAAAGUGAAGAUAUUGUUAUGAUAUUACGAUGUAUCCUAAUUAGUUGAAUCAUGUGCUCAAAACGAGGCAUCAUAUAUCAGAUAAAGGAUUUCUGGAUUAAUAGAUGUGUUCAUGGCCUCCAGAUACAUGAGCACGGAAGGAUAAGUUUAAUUAUGUGCAUUUUGUCAUCCUUGGUUGAUCAUGUCUAAAGUUGAACUAGAACUAACAUUUAGAUCUUUAUAUUUUUCAGUGGUGAAUUCAUCUCUGAACUUUAAAUGACAACCCGAUAUUUUAUUUGACGAAGUGUGUGUGCGGUUUGAUGGCCCUGAGAUGGCAUUCAUCCCUGCAGUUUUUGUCACUCGAAACUCGUGGGAUGCAUUAUUUUGCGUGGACAUAUUAUGGCAAACUUGGACACGAGACUGGUAGUAUCAUAAAAUUAUCAGUUUAGAUAGAGGAAGCCUUUGUUGAUUCAGUCCAGGAGAUAGACUUUGUCUUUUCUGGAAGAUGUUUAUGCAUGAUGGCUUGCCUGAAGACCAUCUUCCCUUCAUAUCUAUUUCACUCCCUGUUAUGUUGUCUAUGGUGAUAUGAGUUGAUAUUUAUGGGAGAAAGUUUUAUCUGAGAUGCUUGCCAAUUCCAAAAAAAAAAAUGCACUGUGAAUAAUGAUAUUAUUUAUCUUACCUAAUGGGUCCAAUAUCACCGUAGUAUUGUAGUUCUAUAUGAGUUAUAUUUACACGAUAAGAUUCUUAUUUGAAGAAAAAAGUGAAUGUUAAUUAG